rnacentral:tRNA from 1 species
GGCCGGAUAGCCGAGUGGUCAGGCCAGGGUGCGCAACACCCUGUACAGUGGUUCGAAUCCAUUUCCGGCCUCCU